rnacentral:rRNA from 1 species
UACGUAGGGACCAAGCGUUGUUCGGAUUUACUGGGCGUAAAGGGCGCGUAGGCGGCGCGACAAGUCACUUGUGAAAUCUCCGGGCUUAACCCGGAACGGCCAAGUGAAACUGUCGUGCUAGAGUGCGGAAGGGGCAAUCGGAAUUCUCGGUGUAGCGGUGAAAUGCGUAGAUAUCGAGAGGAACACCUGAGGUGAAGACGGGUUGCUGGGCCGACACUGACGCUGAGUGCGCGAAAGCCAGGGGAGCAAACAGG